CAGGCAAUCAGAACACAGCAUAAGAGUACACAAUGACAUUGUAGAUUUUCAUGCAUAAUCAAAGCUGAUUUUUCAGCUCUCUCUGAUGUUUAUUUGUGUUAUUCAGUUAUCCAUAAAUAGAGUUUCUUUCCUAGGAAGUAUAAACAAAUGUCAAGUGGAAAAACAUUUUCGAUCCAAGCAAUCAUUGGAAAUGUUCCUGUUUAUAUUAAAACAUGUCAGAAUAUUUUAUAACUCUAGAUUCCAAAAUGUACAUGUUUUGUGUCUCGUACAGUCCAAUAAUUUAUUGAAAAAAUUAACGACAUUUUAUUUUAGGAGCAAUUGCAGUGAUUUCCUAUGGAACCAGUUUGCUAACGAGAGCAAAGGACCUAGCUAGCUUCUGGGGGAGACUCACCAGGGUUCUGGUUUUUGCUUCUGUUCUUUCAUAACUGGAUUGGCUGCCUGCCGGAGGCAUUUCAAAUCAAAUUCUGAAUUUGAUUAGCAAAUCACUGCUACAGACCCAACGCUUUUACAAGAAAUGCACUAUCAUAGUGUGUAAAUAGUUUUUAUUCGGCAUCAUCUGUGGGGUGUUCUGCUCCGGCAAAACCAAAACUAAUUGCUUGAAAAUUUAUACUUGAGAUUUAGCUUUAAUUUACUAACACUCUGAGGGUGUUUCAAGGCAAACUUUUAGAAUGAUUUUUAAUUUAGUCAAAAGGACAAACUGUAGCCGGAAUCCAAAUAUAUGAGGGAGCUGGGUUGCUGGGGGAAGAAUGUUGGGGUCUGAGAUGUCAGGAGAACGGAGUAUGCGUCUGAGCUCUGCAGUCUGCUAAGAGUGCAACUGCUAAUGUUGUAACUAUACUUCUGGGAGGCUGUGGUUUCAUGUUUAAAACCCUGAGGAAAAAAGAUGUUCCUUACAGAAUUAGUGAAGGUUAAAAAAGGAAGUAAAAUUGACUUCUAAACAAUAUACACUAUGAGACAGUAGUUACUUAAUACUUUGGAUUUGUCCCUUCAUCAUCUAACAUAAGCAUAAAAUUGUGUUGAAUGGUACAGAGUUAUGCCUAUGCUACCAUAAGGAAGCACAAUAAUUGGAUGGCAGUUCUCUCUCGAUGGUGGAAUAACAGGUAGAUGGUUUUAAUUUUCUUUUGCAUACUGUGUAUCUAAUUGCCAAUAUUCUGUAAUGCAUUACUUUCAUAUUAGAAUGUUUGUUAAUGAAGGCAAAUGAACAAUAUAGAUGUGUUGUUUUAUACAUAUAAAGAAAAAAAGAUUUCUAUAUGUAUCAAUAAAGUAGCUGCCAUUUUAAUUUAGCAUUUUUAAAAUAAAUUUAAAACAUUGAAAGAUUUUAUCCAUGGAACAGUAAAAAAAUUUUAAUGCAUCCACAAAAGAAUGAGAAAUGUUAGGUAUUCAUUAUUAUUUAAAAAGGAUAUCCAAAUGAGUCUAUGUGGAAUACUUAGAAAAAUUCUUAGAGAAAUUAUAGCCUGUCCAAGAGUGUAUUGGAUAAGGAGGUUGUGAGAAAGUGUUUAGAGCUGCUAUAUAAUGUAAAGAGUUUUUAAAUGAGUCAUAAGUCAUCCUAUAGUAAAAUCUUUCCAAAGUAAAAUUAGUAGCAUUCCCAGAAGAAAAUUUUUAAAUUAAGGAAAACAGUUAAGUAAGCUAAUUUAUUCAUAAACAUGUGAACAUAUUUACAUUUGAGAAUACAUGGAUUAUAUAGGUAUAUAAUCCUCAAAUCAGAUACUCCAAUAAAGACUGAACUUUUAUGUUAUUUCCAAGCUUUAUUGAGAUACACAGUUUGAUGAUUACAAGUUUAAGGCAAUGUGAUGAUUUGAUACACAUAUAUAUUAUGAAAUGUUUACCAUAAUAAUACAGCCUUCACCUCCUAUAAUUACCAUUUUUGUUGCUAUGGUGAGAACAUUAAGAAUACUAGCAAAUUGUGAGUGUACAAUAUAGCAUUGUUAGCUGUAAGUCAUCAUGCUGUAUAUCAGAUCCCCAGCAGUUAGACAUCUUAUAACUGGAAGCUUCCACAUUCUGACCAGCAUUGUCCCAUUUUCCUUAUCUCCCAGCCCUUGGUAACUUUCAGCCUACUAUGAGUUUAACAUUUCUUCCAGUUUUAUUGAAAAGUAACUGACAUACCUCACUGUGUAAGUUUAAGGUGUACAGCACGAUAGUUUGGUUGACACAUAUAGUGAAAUUAUCAUCACAGAAGUUAAGGUAAUAUCCAUCACCUCAUACAGAGUUCAGUGUUUUUUUGAUUUCAUAUAUAAGUGAGAUCAUACAGCAUUUAUCUUUCUCUGUCUUAUAUUACUCAGCAUAAUGCUCUCAAGUUUCACCCAUGUUGAACCAUUUUUUAUGGCUGAAUAAUAUUCUAUUUUAUGUAUACACCACAUUUCCUUAUCUUGGCUAUUUUAAAUAAGCCUGCAAUGAACAUUAGAAUACAGAGGUCCUUUCACUUUGAGCCAUUUACAUUUAAAAUAAUUAUUCAUAGUUAAUAACUUAGUACCACUAUAUAGUUUUCUUGCUGUUUUGUACUUUAUUUUUUUCAUCUCUUGAUGCCUUCCUUUAAAAUGGAUGAUUUUUCCAUAGUGGUAUGCUUUAAUUCCUUUCUCUUUAUCUACUAUAGGUUCUUGCUUUGCAGUUAACCUGAGGCUUACUUGAAACAUUUUAUAGAUUUAACAGUCUAAUUUUAACCUGUUAAUAACUUUGAUUGCAUAUAAAACAUAUACUUUCACUCCUCCUCUCUCUAGUUUGUUUUUGAUGUCAUGAUUUAUACUUUUUUGAUACUGUGUAUCCAUUAAUAAAUUACUAUGGCUACUUAAAAUAUUUUUGUACUUUAGCCUUUAAGUAGAGUUGUGUUUAACACAUCACCAUAUUAGAGUAUUCUGAAUCUGACUAUACACUUAGCUUAACCAGUGUGUUGUAUAUUUUCAUAUGAUUUCAUGUUAGUAAUUAUUGUACUGUCUUUUCAGUGUGAAGAACUCUCUUUCAGCACUUCUUGAAAGAAAAGUCUUAUGGUGAUGAACUAGCUCAACUUUCUUCUUUUUGUUCGGGAAAGUCUAUCUCCCCUUAAUUUCUAUGGACAACUUUGGCAGGUAAAGUCUUCUGGUUGGCAGUUUUUCCUUUUUUUCUUUCUUUCAGCACUUUUAAUACAUCACCCCACUCACUCCCAUGGAUGAAGGGUCUCACCACAGGGGUGAGCAUGCAGUAGAGGUUUGUGAUGCGAGCCAGGCUGGGCGUGUGCAGGUACACAGCUGGAGGAGCGAGCAGGAGUUGAGAUUCAGGCCAGUAACGAGAGACAGGGCUGAAAGCUGAAAGCCCAGAGGCCUCUGGGGGGGCCUGACUGUCAGCAUGGACAUCCUUGAUUGCAGGUCUUGCUAGAUGCACACGCAGCCGUGAAGGCUGGUAAUGGGGGGCAGGCUGAGAGCAUGGACGUGCACAGGUUGGCACCCUGCUCUUGUGCAGCCACAGAGGCUGGGACUGGCCACUGGGAAGGGUCCCAGGCUGUGUGUGUGGUGGGGAGGGAUGGAGGAGAAACUCAGGCAAUUGAUGACCAUGGAGGUGAAAGCCAGUGAGGGGCAAACCUCAGUGGAGAAAUCUGCAGGGAGUUGAAAGAGACUGUACUGGGCACUGGUUUCUUCCGUGGUGGAAGCAGCGGGGCUCCUUGGAGCUAUGGUUGCUCCCACUGCAGGACUGGACCUGGUAGUCCCCCCGCCCUCCUUCUCUGUUCCUAGUCAUCUCCAUACAUCUCAGCUUUGCUCAUCUCUGGGCGAAGUGAAACUGAACUGGGUCUUUCCUGCAGUGUCCCAGAAAGCUAGGGAAGCCAGUCACCCUAUUCUUCCUUUGUUGGUGAGGGAAACUUCUCCUUCCUGGCGCUGAGCAAUGCCAGCCUGGAGGACGGGAUGACACAGACAAAAUGAAGCUCUUUUGUCCAGUUAUUCUCAGGUUUUUUGUUCUACUCUGUUGCGGAUGUUUCUAAGGUGGACACCUACGCCCUCCCAGGGCUGUUUCUGUUCAUGGAGAGCAGUCUAAUUAUUGAUCUCUGUGGGGGUGGGGUGGGGACAGAGGCUCAGUUCUUCUGUCGUCUUAGUGACAAUACUCCUUCCAUCUGAAUUUUCCUACUUCUAACCCAAAGCCACACCAACAUGAUCUUUCCCCCACAUCUAGCACUUAAUUAUAGCAGGAAUUUCAGAGACUGUGGUGAGUAGAUAAUGUCUCAGGGGUCAAAGAAGUAAAGAAAACAUAUCUGCCUUAGGUGGAAGAUCUGUGCAUUCUCCAGGCAUUCAGCCUAGACUCUGAGGAGGUAAGCAAAGUGUCUUCAGCACAAACCAUUCACUGCAGAAUGAAGCUGCUUUCGUUAAAACAUGAAGACUUUGAGGAUCACAGGCCUUCACUCUCUGCUGUUCAGUGCCCCCAAAACAGCCUUCCACACUGUUUCUACAUUGCUGGCAAUUCCUGCAUAUGUAGUUAUUUCUUCAUCUGUGGAGUUAGAGGUCCAUUUAUUGAAUAUUUUGACUAGUGAAUUCUGUAUCCCAAGGACACUGCAUCUUCAACCAAGAUAUUCUUCUAGCCACAUCAACAAAUACAUAUUAUCUCACUUCGGAGCUUGAGAAAAAA